rnacentral:antisense_RNA from 1 species
UGGGGUCUCACUUUGUCACCCAGGCUGGGCUCAAACUCUUGGCUUCAAGCGAUCUUCUCGCCUUGGUCUCCCAAAGUGCUGGGAUUACAGGCUUGAACUGCUGUACCUGACUGACUUUUCCUAUUUCUAAUAUCAGCAUGAAGAACACAAGAAGUCAGCUUCAAAGAGUCUAGAAGAGCAAACGUUCACUUUGCAGCCUCCCUUGCACCAGGGAGUGGCCAUGAGACAAUUCUGCCCAAUGACUCAGAAAAGGAAUUGUGUUGAGGAUUUCUGGAAAGACUACUGCUUUUCCCGAGAAAAGCGACAGAUGCAGUAGGGGCUGCGCCCCUUCCAUGCCUCUUCCAGCCUUACAGAUGCACUGUUGGUAGCUGUGACUGCCUUGCUACCACGAGGAAAAGGAAGGCCAAGAGAAUAGCAGAGAUACUCGCUCUGAUGCCUUUGAGCCAAUGAAUCAAUGCCAGAAGCAGCUGAUCUCCAGAGUUCUUGUUAUAGGAUUAAAAUAAAUCUCUACUUAUUUGCCAUUGUCA